rnacentral:lncRNA from 10 species
GGCUAGUGGCAUUUGGACAUAUGAACAGAAGUGUGUGGUUCCAGUACAGUGGUUAGAUGUAGUCACUUUGAAAGCCAGAAUGGCAAAUAUGACUUACCUGGAUACCAGUGGCUUACUCAUGGUUGGAAAGUUUUCGGUGGGCAUUUAAGUGUUGUGAAGUAGUAUGUUUCAGUGACUGGUUGGAAAUGACAGGGACGGACUAGCCCCCAGAAUCCUGCUAUGCUAGAGAAUUCCCACCAGGAAGAUCUUAGUGACCUUUAUCAAGAGGACUGUGGGAACAAAAAUGUUUCCUUUUGAAAGGAACCAAACAAUCACAAGUGCUAAGUUUUCUGGGAAUUUCCAUUAAAGUGACACAAACCUGGCCAUGAUUCUCACCACUACUUAACUCUGGGCUCUGUAUUAUGAGAGAAGGGAGCCUGAGAUAGACCAAAUGACAUCCCUGAAGCACCUCUCAGCAACUCAUGUCACUCAGUAGAACUGUCCAUACCAAGCUUGUCAAGGAUCUUUGAACAUACAUCCUUGGCAAACAACUUUAAUACACCCUUUGAAAUGGAGUAA